rnacentral:rRNA from 1 species
CUGCGGAGGGAUCAUUACAAGUGACCCCGGUCUAACCACCGGGAUGUUCAUAACCCUUUGUUGUCCGACUCUGUUGCCUCCGGGGCGACCCUGCCUUCGGGCGGGGGCUCCGGGUGGACACUUCAAACUCUUGCGUAACUUUGCAGUCUGAGUAAACUUAAUUAAUAAAUUAAAACUUUUAACAACGGAUCUCUUGGUUCUGGCAUCGAUGAAGAACGCAGCGAAAUGCGAUAAGUAAUGUGAAUUGCAGAAUUCAGUGAAUCAUCGAAUCUUUGAACGCACAUUGCGCCCCCUGGUAUUCCGGGGGGCAUGCCUGUUCGAGCGUCAUUUCACCACUCAAGCCUCGCUUGGUAUUGGGCAUCGCGGUCCGCCGCGUGCCUCAAAUCGACCGGCUGGGUCUUCUGUCCCCUAAGCGUUGUGGAAACUAUUCGCUAAAGGGUGUUCGGGAGGCUACGCCGUAAAACAACCCCAUUUCUAAGGUGACCUC